UACAGAGGGUGCGAGCGUUAAUCGGAAUUACUGGGCGUAAAGCGUGCGUAGACGGUCGCGUAAGUCAGAUGUGAAAGCCCCGGGCUCAACCUGGGAACUGCAUUUGAGACUGCUCUGCUCGGGUGCGGAAGAGGGAAGCGGAAUUUCCGGUGUAGCGGUGAAAUGCGUAGAUAUCGGAAGGAACACCAGUGGCGAAAGCGGCUUCCUGGUCCGAAACCGACGUUCAGGCACGAAAGCGUGGGGAGCAAACAGG
rnacentral:rRNA from 1 species